rnacentral:rRNA from 1 species
AUUGAACGCUGGCGGCACGCCUAACACAUGCAAGUCGAACGAGUGGCGGACGGGUGAGUAAUGUCUGGGAAACUGCCUGAUGGAGGGGGAUAACUAAUGGAAACGGUAGCUAAUACCGCAUACCAUCGGAUGUGCCCAGAGGGGAUGAGCUAGUAGGUGGGGUAAAGGCUCACCUAGGCGACGAGCCCUAGCUGGUCUGCGAGGAUGAACAGCCGGCCAGGUACUGGGACACGUUCCAGACUCCGACGGGAGGCAGCAGUGGGGAAUAUUGCACAAUGGGCGCAAGCCUGAUGCAGCCAUGCCGCUUGUAUGAAGAAGGCCUUCGGGUUGUAAAGUACUUUCAGCGGGGAGGCGUUACCCGCAGAAGAAGCACCGGCUAACUCCGUGACAGCAGCCGCGGUAAGAC